rnacentral:rRNA from 1 species
GUCUGGAUCCUGGCUCAGAUUGAACGCUGGCGGAUGCUUUAUGUACAUGCAAACGAACGGCAGCACGCACCCUGGUCUGUGGCGAGUGGCGAACGGGUGAGUAAUGGUCGGAAUGCCUAGUAGCGGGGAUAACUACGCGAAAGGUAGGUGCAUACGCCUCUUCGGGGGAAAGCGGUGACCUUCGGGCCUUGCACUAUUAGAGCGGCCGAUAUCGAUUAGUCAGUUGUGGUAACGGCUCACCAAGGCGACGAUCCGUAGCUGGUUUGAGAGGACGACCAGCCACACUGGGACUGGAGACACGGGCCCAGACUCUACGGAGGCAGCAGUGGGGAAUUUCGGCGUAAAUGGGAAACCCUGAUCCAGCCAUCCCGCGCGUGUGCGAUGAAGCUGUCAGAAGCACUUUUGGCAGGAAAGAAACGGCACGGGAUAAUACCUGCAACUCUGGUACCUGCAGAAUAAGCACCGGCUAACUACGUGCCAGCAGCCGCGGUAAUACGUAGGGUGCAAGCGUUAAUCGGAAUUACUGGGCGUAAAAGCGUGCGCAGGCGGUUCGAAAGAAAGAUGUGAAAUCCCAGAGCUUAACUUUCUUGGAACUGCAUUUUUAACUACCGAGCGCCAGAUGUCAGAGGGAGGUGGAAUUCGCGUGUAGCAGUGAAAUGCGUAGAUAUGCGGGAGGAACACCGAUGGCGAAGGCAGCCUCCUGGGAUAACACUGACGCUCAUGCACGAAAGCGUGGGGAGCAAACAGAUUAGAUACCUGGUAGUCCACGCCCUAAACGAUGUCAACUAGCUGUUGGGGCCUUCGGGCCUGGUAGCGCAGCUAACGCGAAGUUGACCGCCUGGGGAGUACGGUCGCAAGAUUAAAACUCAAAGUGAAUUGACGGGACCCGCACAAGCGGUGGAUGAUGGGAUUAAUUCGAUGCAACGCGAAAACCUUACCUACCCUUGCGUGACAUGUCUGGAAUCCCGAAGAGAUUUGGGAGUGUUUGCAAGAGAACCGGAACACAGGUGCUGCAUGGCUGUCGUCAGCUCGUGUCGUGAGAGUUGGGUUAAGUCCCGCAACGAGCGCAACCCUUGUCAUUAGUUGCUACGAAAGGACUUCAUCGAGACUGCCGGUGACAAACCGGAGGAAGGUGGGGAUGACGUCAAGUCCUCAUGGCCUCUUAUGGGUAGGGCUUCAUUAUCACACAAUGGUCGGGACAGAGGUCGCCAACCCGCGAGGGGGAGCCAAUCCCAGAAACCCGAUCAGUCCGGAUCGCAGUCUGCAACCUCGACCGCGUGAAGUCGGAAUCGCUAGUAAUCGCGGAUCAGCAUGUCGCGGUGAAUACGUUCCCGGGUCUUGUACACACCGCCCGUCACACCAUGGGAGUGGGUUUUACCAGAAGUAGUUAGCCUAACCGUAAGGGAGGGCGAUUACCACGGUAGGAUUCAUGACUGGGGUGAAGUCGUAACAAGGUAA